AAGUCGUAACAAGGUUUCCGUAGAAAUAGUUCUCUGGCGAAGCUUUGAACAUGCGCGACUCUAAAGAAACGCUGUUACAGCCCUCUAUCCUAGAAGGGCGACGUCACACAAGUGCUGGGACCCUUUAGGUGAUAAAGAGUACCAGCAGCCAGGAUAGUUCUUGGUUCACAGAUUAGGUGGUGACGGUCAAGUAGAUUGAGGGUCUUGUUAAAAAUGCUCCCGAGGAUGACAAAAUCCUGAUAUACUUGAUUAAGAUAUAAUCGGUCUUUUGCUUUGAAGAGGUAAUAAGAACAACGUUCCGUAGGUGAACCUGCGGAAGGAUCAUUAUCGAGUUCGGGGUCCUCUGGGCCCCAUCUCCAACCCUUGUCUAUUCUACCAUGUUGCUUCGGCGGGCCCGUCUUUCACCGGACCGCCGGGGACUGCUGUCCCUGGCCCGUGCCCGUCAGUAGCCCCCCCCUGAAAUUCUCUUCACGGUGAUGUCUCAGUCCAAUCAUAAUAACUAAAACUUUCAACAACGGAUCUCUUGGUUCUGGCAUCGAUGAAGAACGCAGCGAAAUGCGAUAAGUAAUGCGAAUUGCAGAAUUCCGUGAGUCAUCGAAUCUUUGAACGCACAUUGCGCCCUUUGGUAUUCCGAAGGGCAUGCCUGUUCGAGCGUCAUUAUCAACCCUCAAGCCCGGCUUGUCGUUGAAUCGCAUCGGUGGCGACGCCGGUGGAUUCCAAAGAUAGUGGCAGAGUCCCCGGACCCUGGAUGCAGCGAGCUUUCUCCAGCACGCGUCCCGGCGGUCGGGUGGGCUCCGUCUCAACCUCUGAAUAUUUUCAAUCUGGUUGACCUCGGAUCAGGUAGGGAUACCCGCUGAACUUAAGCAUAUCAAUAAGCGGAGGAAAAGAAACCAACCGGGAUUGCCUCAGUAACGGCGAGUGAAGCGGCAACGGCUCAAAUUUGAAAUCUGACCCCUCUAGGGGUCCGAGUUGUAAUUUGUAGAGGAUGCUUCGGGCAAGGCCGUGGUCUAAUUUGCGUGGAACCGCAAGUCACAGAGGGUGAGAAUCCCGUCUAGGAUCGCGGGCCGCGUCCAUGUGAAGCUCCUUCGACGAGUCGAGUUGUUUGGGAAUGCAGCUCUAAAUGGGUGGUAAAUUUCAUCUAAAGCUAAAUAUUGGCCAGAGACCGAUAGCGCACAAGUAGAGUGAUCGAAAGAUGAAAAGCACUUUGGAAAGAGAGUUAAACAGUAUGUGAAAUUGUUGAAAGGGAAGCGCUUGCAAUCAGACUUGCGGGUGACGGCUCCCCACCCCCUUCGGGGGUGGCUACUCCGUCACUUCCAGGCCAGCAUCGGUUCGGGUGGUCGGUCAAAGACCCCGGGAAUGUAUCUACCCUCCGGGGUCGACUUAUAGCCCGGGGUGCAAUGCGGCCCACCCGGACCGAGGAACGCGCUUCGGCUCGGAUGCUGGCGUAAUGGUUGUAAGCGGCC
rnacentral:rRNA from 1 species